AUUAUUAAAUUUUAUAAAAUUAAUGACCUUUUAUAAUUUAAAAAAUUAAUUUACAUAACACAGCAAACUCUGCUAUACAUCACUUAGUUUAUAUAAUUAUAGUUAAGCCCAUACGAGUUACAGUCAGGUUGUUAAAUUAGUGCCAGCAUCUGCGGUUAGACUAAGUUCUUUUUAUAAUAUAGGGGUUGCUUUUUAUAUUUUUUGGCUUUAAUAAGUGGUAAAAAAAAAUUAAUUUAUUUUUAAUAAAUACAGCAUCGAGCAUAAGAUAAAAUAGGAUUAGAUACCCUAGUAUUUUGUUAAAAAAUCCUUAAUAAUAAAUAUAAAAUAAGAAUAUUUGGCGGCUUUAGGUUAUUAAAGGGGCUUGUCAAUAAACGAUAACCCGCGUUUAGUCCCGCUUUAUUAAAUUCUGUAUACCUUCAUGUAGAUGCUCUAUUAUAGUAAACUAUUACACGAAAAUAGAUCAAGGUGCAGAAAUUUUUAAGUUAGAUUAGCCACAAUAUUUAUUAAUAAGACGAAAAAUUAAAUUAUUAGGUGGAUUUAAUUUUAAUAAGCAAAUUUAUGAUUUUUUAUCCUAAAGUGCUCAGAUCGCCCGUCACUCUCUAUGAGAUAAGUCGAAACAAAGUAAGUUUACUGGAAAGUGUACUUA
rnacentral:rRNA from 1 species